rnacentral:rRNA from 1 species
UCCAGACUCCUACGGGAGGCAGCAGUGGGGAAUAUUGCACAAUGGGGGAAACCCUGAUGCAGCGACGCCGCGUGAGUGAAGAAGUAUUUCGGUAUGUAAAGCUCUAUCAGCAGGGAAGAAAAUGACGGUACCUGACUAAGAAGCCCCGGCUAACUACGUGCCAGCAGCCGCGGUAAUACGUAGGGGGCAAGCGUUAUCCGGAUUUACUGGGUGUAAAGGGAGCGUAGACGGCAUGGCAAGUCAGAUGUGAAAGCCCGGGGCUCAACCCCGGGACUGCAUUUGAAACUGUCAGGCUGGAGUGCAGGAGAGGUAAGUGGAAUUCCUAGUGUAGCGGUGAAAUGCGUAGAUAUUAGGAGGAACACCAGUGGCGAAGGCGGUCUGCUGGACAGCAACUGACGCUGAGGCGCGAAAGCGUGGGGAGCAAACAGGAUUAGAUACCCGAGUA